rnacentral:rRNA from 1 species
UUUUAUAGAUGUUGAGGUUGAGUAUGGGGGCGGAGCUUGAAGAUAGAAGCAAGCCGUGCUAGCCUAGCAAUAUUUUUCAGCAGCAAGCUAUGGUCUAACGACCCUCUAACCUAGGUUGGGGCAAAAACUCCAAAAUCCAAAAUGUUGGUUAGGGUUCCUCUUCUUUUAGGCGAGCUACUUCGUUCCAAACCUUUCUCUAAUAAUAAGGUAAGCUUUCAAGCGGCCGCCCUUUAAAGGAGCGGGUGCAGUGAACUAUAAUUGUGAAAAAAUUGGAAGAUCUGGCCAAAGAAUGUGAUAGCCCUAUAGAUUCGUUCCCAUGGUUCGAUCCUUCCCAGUAAAACAUGGCGUGUUCGAAUUCUAAUUGCUUUUAUAUGAGAAAAGAGGACUACCCUCUAAGCCUAAGUAUUCGUCAAUGACCGAUAGCGUACAAGUACCAUGAGGGAAAGGUGAACAGAACCCUAUUUAGGGAGUACAAUAGAGAACCUGAGAUCCGAUGCGAACAAUCAGUCGAAAGAGUGGAGCUUAGAGCCUUUACUUUAUGUAAAGCACACUUACUCUAACGGCGUACCUUUUUCAUGAUGGGUCAGUGAGGAAAUGGGAACAGCGGCUUAAGCCAUUAGGUGUAGGCGCUUUCCAGAGGUGGAAUCUUCUAGUUCUUCCUAUUUGACCCGAAACUGAUCGAUCUAGCCAUGACCAGGUUGAAGAGAGCUCUAACAGGCCUUGGAGGACCAAACCCACGUAUGUGGAAAAAUACAGGGAUGACUUGUGGCUAGGGGUGAAAGGCCAACCAAGAUCGGAUAUAGCUGGUUUUUCGCGAAAUUUAUUUCAGUAGAGCGUAUGAUGUCGAUGGCCCGAGGUAGAGCACUCAAUGGGCUAGGGUGGCCUUAUUUCACCUUACCAACCCCAGGGAAACUCUGAAUAUAGGCCUAGAUCAUUUGUAUAGACAGACUUUUUGGGUGCUAAGAUCCAAAGUCGAGAGGGAAACAGCACAGAUCAUACGCUAAGGUCUCUAAGUAAUCACUUAGUAGAAAAGGAAGUGAUCGAGCAAUGACAACCAGGAGGUGGGCUUGGAAGCAACCAUCCUUUGAAGAAAGCGUAAUAGCUCACUGGUCUAGCUCCAUGGCACCGAAAAUAUAUCAGGGCUCAAGUGAUUCACCGAAGCAACGAGACCUUAAAAUCUGCUUUUUCAAGUCACAGUAGCAAAAUAUUCUGUCAAUCGGGGAAGGUUUUUGGUGACAAGACCUAGAGAUAUCAAAAGUGAGAAUGCUGACAUGGAUAAUGAAAAAUCCUGUGAAAAACACGAUCGCCUGCCAAUGGAAGGUUUUCUGCAUUCAGUCAAUCUACGCAGAGUGAAUCGGUCCUUAAGGAACCCCCGAAAGGGCCUAGUCUGAUGGGUACACAAAAGUGAUGAAGUUGCUUUGACUACAGAUCCAUGCCUGUCUAUUGGAGCGAAUUGGAUAAUCGGGCCAAGGGCUGCCCCCUCUUCCUAUCACUCUCUUUUUCCUAAUAUGAACCUUGAGUCAUCAAAGUCUUUUUUACUCGGCCUGGCUCGGUCGCCCUACGCGACUGGUGCUUCAAAAGGUGAAAAUCUCGGUCGUAGUUUGGUGACCUAUCUUCAGUAGGGGCCUUUAGUCUUUUGAUUAGAGUAUGGGUCACGAGAGUGCAGAGCGUACUGCCCUGCCAUAGUCACGAGUCUGUUUAUAGUCGCGACUGUUGUCAUAGUCAACAAGGUUGAAACUUCCAGGAAAAAACUUUGAAUUGGGAGGGCGAUCCUCCCGGUGAACUGACCGUACCCCAAAUCAACACAGGUGAACAAGUAGAGUAUACUAUGGCGCUUGAGAAAACCAUGUCGAAGGAACUCGACAAAAUGACCCCGUAACUUCGGGAGAAGGGGUGCUCUCUUAUCUUUUGAUUAGGAAAGUGGCACAUACCAGGGGGUGGCGACUGUUUAUUAAAAACACAGGACUCUGCUAAGUGGUAAUACGGUGUAUAGAGUCUAACACCUGCCCGGUGUUGGAAGGUCGGAAGGAGAAGUGUUAUAAGCUUUGAAUGAAAGCCCCGGUAAACGGCGGUAGUAACUCUAACUGUCCUAAGGUAGCGAAAUUCCUUAUCGCAUAAGUAGCGACCUGCACGAAUGGUGUAACGACUUCCCUACUGUCUUCGACAUGGACCCGAUGAAAUUGAAUUCUCUGUGAAGAUGCGGAGUACCAAUGGCUAAAUGGUAAGACAUAACUAUAGCUUCGCAGUGACAACCUUAAUUAAAUAUGUAGGAUAGAUGGGAGGUGGUGACACACAACGACCAAUCCUGAAAGACCACUUUUUUAUCUAAGAAUGCCUAACCGCCGCACCGAUCAUUCAGGGAGAGGCGGGACACUACAAGAAGGGUAGUUUAUCUAGGGCGGAUGCCUCCUAAAGAGUAAAGGAGGUGUGUGAAAGUAGGAUCAAGCUAAGAUUUUGCUCGUGAGUGUAAUGGUAUAAGCCUGCCUGACUGUGAGACUGUGAGACCAACUGGUUGAACAGAGAUGAAAGUCGACUAUAGUAAUCCGGGAGUCCCGUGUGGAAGGGCUCUCGCUCAACGGAUCAAAGGUACGCCAGGGAUAAUAGGAUGAUUACUCCCAAGAGCUCUUAUCGACGAAGUCAUUUGGAACCUCGAUGUCGACUCAUCACAUGCUGGGGUUAAAGAAGGUCCCUAGGGUUCGAUUGUUCACUGAUUCAAGUGGUACGUGAGUUGGCUUUAGAACAUCGUGAGAUAGUUCGGUUCUUAUCUACCAUCGGUGUAAAAGGGAGAACUGCGAGGAUCCAACCCUAGUACGAGAGGACUGGGUUGGGGUAACCUAUGGUGUACCGGUUGUUAUGCCAAUAGUAGUGCCGGGUAGCUAAGUUAGUAUGGAAGAACUGCUGUGCCACGGGAAAUCUUUCUCUAUACAAGUUCUCGGAUGAGAUUUUUGAAUAGAACUUCGAUAGGCGAGAGGUGUAAGCACCGCGAGGUGUGAAGCGAUCUCGUACUAAAUGAAACUACUUUCACUU